rnacentral:rRNA from 1 species
GACAGAGGAUGCAAGCGUUAUCCGGAAUUAUUGGGCUUAAAGCGUCUGUAGGUGGCUUUUCAAGUCCGCCGUCAAAUCCCAGGGCUCAACCCUGGACAGGCGGUGGAAACUACCAAGCUGGAGUACGGUAGGGGCAGAGGGAAUUUCCGGUGGAGCGGUGAAAUGCAUUGAGAUCGGAAAGAACACCAACGGCGAAAGCAAUCUGCUGGGCCGACACUGACACUGAGAGACGAAAGCUAGGGGAGCAAAUGGG